AUUUUCCACACUGCCUGUCAGAAAGUUCUAUCUGCUGCUGGAUUCUUAGCCCUCUAGUUGUGAUGUGGAUGAGUUCCAUUCUUAUCUUAACAGUACUGUUCCUAAGAUUCCAUUUCCUCUCAAGAGCAGACAGGCUUGUGCUUAAAGGGGCCUUUUUACUGAUAGGCAGGACCCGCUCCUUGGCCUGCCGUGCUUGGCUACUGAGUGUCUCUGGGGUUUGAUGAGAUGCUGAUGACUGGGUGUUGCGGUGUCGAGUCCUGCAGUGCAUCAGCCCAAGACAGCUGGCACCUCUGACCCCUAGCCGCCCCAGGACGGUCACCCCACCUCCAUGCUGUGGCCCUGUUGGGCUGGUUUUCUGAUAUUAUUAGUAAUCUACAUCCUGCUCUGCUUCUAGGACCACAGGAGGCCUGGAAAUGUCUGCAGAGCUCUUAAUAGCACAGCAGGUUGCUGCAAUGAGGAGCUAAAUGUCUCAGUCUCCAUUCAUUGUGCCCAAACUGCCAGAUGAUCCAAAAUGGAGCUCACCUCCUAGGGUCCUGAGGGUUUUGUCUGCAGGGUUAGAAAACAUACUGCCCACUGAUCCCUUAUUGAAUUCACCCUCCAGAAUUGUGUUAGAACAAUCCCAACCCAGACUAACUCGAAACACUUUUCAGUGUCCUAAUGGGUCACUGUACCACCACAACAAACACCCAGUGGAGUUACUGGGGCUGCAGAGCUAAGCACCUUCCUUCAAGCACCCAGAAAUCACACUGUGAAACUUCAGCUUCAAGAAACUUAAGAGCUCUGUGUCCUGGAUAAGUCCUCCCCUAAGAUGCCACUCAGAAGACAAUUUUGAUUACUCCCAUUCAGUCAUUCAUUCACUACACAUUAUGAAGGUGGCUACUAUGUGCCAGAUGCCUACAGAGAUAAAGCAUAUAAAGUUGAGAUUCUACUUCAUUAAAACAGAUGCUGCUCAUGACCUUCAAUACUGAAACCAUGACUCACCAAAAGAUGACAACCCACAGUUUGAAAAUACCACCUGUUUAACUCCUGACACCAGUGUUUUCCAGCAUGGGAAGUGGAACUCAUAAGGAUUUUAAGUGAGACUGCUUUUUACUGGCUGAUCUUUGGAUCAGAGAGAGAAGGACAUCAAGGAAGAAGAGAGCGUGGGCCCAGGAGAGAGCAACGCAGGACAGGAGGAAGAAAGAGAAAGAAAAACAAAACACGACAUAAACCAGACAAGACACUAGGGAUGGUUGGUUCAAAGAAAAACCACAACAGAGCCAAGAGUGACCCA